CAGCACCCCAAGUGGUCAGGAUGAUUAUUGGGCCUAAAGCAUCCGUAGCCGGCGCUGUAAGUUUUCGGUUAAAUCUGUACGCUCAACGUACAGGCUGCCGGGAAUACUGCAGCGCUAGGGAGUGGGAGAGGUAGACGGUACUCGGUAGGAAGGGGUAAAAUCCUUUGAUCUAUUGAUGACCACCUGUGGCGAAGGCGGUCUACCAGAACACGUCCGACGGUGAGGGACGAAAGCUGGGGGAGCGAACCGGAUUAGAUACCCGAGUAGUCC
rnacentral:rRNA from 1 species